GACGAACGCUGGCGGCGUGCUUAACACAUGCAAGUCGAACGGAAAGGCCCUGCGUUUGUGGGGUUCUCGAGUGGCGAACGGGUGAGUAACACGUGAGUAUCCUGCCCUUGUCUUUGGGAUAACUUCACGAAACUGGGGCUAAUACCGGAUAGGAGAUCCUGCUGCAUGGUGGGGGUUGGAAAGUUUCGGCGGUUGGGGAUGGACUCGCGGCUUAUCAGCUUGUUGGUGGGGUAGUGGCUUACCAAGGCUUUGACGGGUAGCCGGCAUGAGAGGGUGACCGGGGACAAUGGUACUGAGGUACGGACCAGACUGCUACGGGAGGCAGCAGUGGGGAACAUGGCACAAUGGGCGGACGCCUGAGGCAGCAACGCCGCGUGCGUGAUGACGGGCUUCGGGUUGAAAACAGCUUUGGCCUGUGACGAAGCGUUAGUGACGGUAAUGGGUAAAGAAGCACCGGCUAACUACGUG
rnacentral:rRNA from 1 species